AUUAUCACAUUCCUGGGUAUUCAAUUAGACUCAACCACGAUGCAAGCAAGCCUGCCACACGACAAGAUAGGAAACAUUCUGACCUACAUCAACCACUACCUUCAGCUCGGUACUUGCAACUGCAAAGAGCUACAGUCCCUGCUGGGUUCUCUAAAUUUUGCCAUGCGUAUCAUACCUCAAGGCCGCUCCUUCAUAUCACGACUCUUGUAUCUAUUUCCACUCUUCCUACACGACACACACAGGUUGUCCUUAGAUACUCAAG